AGAGUUUGAUCCUGGCUCAGGACAAACGCUGGCGGCGUGCCUAACACAUGCAAGUCGGACGACAGGCGAGGAAUCCGCAAGGAGGAAUCGUGCUGAGUGGCGAACGGGUGAGUAGUACAUGGGGACAUACCCUCAAGGGUGGGAUAGCGUUUCGAAAGGGACGGUAAUACCGCAUACGCUCGAGAGAGGAAAGGUGCAAGAGCACCGCUUGAGGAGUGACUCAUGACCCAUCAGUUAGUUGGUGAGGUAAAGGCCCACCAAGGCGAUGACGGGUAGCUGGUCUGAGAGGAUGGUCAGCCACACUGGGACUGAGACACGGCCCAGACUCCUGCGGGAGGCAGCAGUGGGGAAUUUUUCCCAAUGGGCGAAAGCCUGAGGGAGCGACGCCGCGUGGAGGAAGGAAUCUUUCGAGAUGUAAACUCCUGUUGUAAGGGAGCAAGGGUAUAUGGAGUGGAAAGUCAUAUACUCGGAUAGUACCUUACGAGGAAGCCCCGGCUAACUACGUGCCAGCAGCCGCGGUAAUACGUAGGGGGCGAGCGUUGUCCGGAGUUACUGGGCGUAAAGGGUGCGUAGGUGGCCGAUAAAGUCAAGUGUGAAAUUCCACGGCUCAACUGUGGGAGAGCGUUUGAAACUAAUCGGCUUGAGGUCAGGUCAGGGAGAUGGAAUUGUCAGUGUAGGGGUGAAAUCCGUAGAUAUUGGCAAGAACGCCAGUGGUGAAGACGGUCUUCUGGGCUGAUACUGACACUGAGGCACGAAAGCUAGGGGAGCGAACGGGAUUAGAUACCCCGGUAGUCCUAGCCGUAAACGAUGUUCACUGAGUAUUGGGAGGCGUUAGCCCAUCCGUGCCUGAAGCAAACGCGUUAAGUGAACCGCCUGGGGAGUACGGCCGCAAGGUUGAAACUCAAAGGAAUUGACGGGGGCCCGCACAAGCGGUGGAGCGUGUGGUUUAAUUCGACGCAACACGAAGAACCUUACCAAGGCUUGACAUACAGGUGGUAGUGAGACGAAAGUGGAACGACUCUCGAAAGGGAGAGCCUGCACAGGUGGUGCAUGGCUGUCGUCAGCUCGUGCCGUGAGGUGUUGGGUUAAGUCCCGCAACGAGCGCAACCC
rnacentral:rRNA from 1 species